UACGUAGGUGGCGAGCGUUGUCCGUAUUUACUGGGCGUAAAGGGAGCGUAGGCGGACUUUUAAGUGAGAUGUGAAAUACUCGGGCUCAACUUGAGUGCUGCAUUUCAAACUGGAAGUCUAGAGAGCAGGAGAGGAGAAUGGAAUUCCUAGUGUAGCGGUGAAAUGCGUAGAGAUUAGGAAGAACACCAGUGGCGAAGGCGAUUCUCUGGACUGUAACUGACGCUGAGGCUCGAAAGCGUGGGGAGCAAACAGG
rnacentral:rRNA from 1 species